rnacentral:rRNA from 1 species
CAGUCGCCGCGGUAACACGGAGGGUGCAAGCGUUAAUCGGAAUUACUGGGCGUAAAGCGCACGCAGGCGGUCUGUUAAGUCAGAUGUGAAAUCCCCGAGCUUAACUUGGGAACUGCAUUUGAAACUGGCAAGCUAGAGUCUUGUAGAGGGGGUAGAAUUCCAGGUGUUGCGGUGAAAUGCGUAGAGAUCAGGAGGAAUACCGGUGGCGAAGGCGGCCCCCUGGACAAAGACUGACGCUCAGGUGCGAAAGCGUGGGGAGCAAACAGGAUUAGAUACCCGGGUAGUCCCUGUCUCUUAUACA